AAGACUCCUUCACGGCUCAAAGAGGAGAGAUGCAAAGGAAAUGACAGACGGGGAAGGGGGAAGGAGAUGCCAACCGGUAAACACAGGAGGACUCAGGUUUCUCGAACAUCUCCCUCCGGCAAGCACCACACCAAUUAACCCGAUAACUGUCGGUGAAUGCUACAAGCUAGUGAGCAUAAACUUGGCGAGAAAACAGAACGCUUAUUUAAUCCUGGAGUAACUUGCCGUUGGAUAUGGAUUCAGUCGUCCAGUGGAGAAGUUUGGACCACACCCUGCCCCGCCCAUGCCCACGCCCCCGCUUCUGGCCUGCAACCAUAGCAACCACUGACAGGAAGGAGGCAGGCAGCUAUGCACACCACCCGCCAGGAUAUGAGGGGAACAACCACGGCCAUUGGCAGGGAUCCUGUGACGUCCCUGUAGAGAAAUGCACGGACUCUGUCUAGUCACAAGGAUGUGUCCGACAAGUCUGAGGAGAAUGUUCCAAACUUGCUGGCCUGAAGGAGGCCCUCACACAACCGUGAAGUGCAUAAAAUCGAGGAAGAACGAAGCGCAUUUGCGUCUCUGAAGGGUACAAACGAGGCAUGAGUGCGACGGGUGAUCUUGAAUCUUUGCAUGUUUUGUUUUCCUGCUGAUUUGUUUUUAUACGGAGGAUAUAUUGUUACGGCAGCCAAAAUCAUUUAGCCUGGUAGCAAGAUUUUUUUUUACUCUUUUCACAAUUGCUCUGAAUCAUUAAAAGAUCUAAGAUUUAAGGUGAUUUAAGGUGGGGGCUUUCCGCCAUUUUGUUUUAUGUCUACCUCCUUAUAUCUGAGAGUCCUUCCCACUACACCAGACUUCUCACGCCAUCAGAGACUGACUCGGGCAUCAUCUCUAUCGUGAAGCUCUCACUCUGUGUCCCUGGUGGAACCCUGGAGUUGCCCUUCUGCUGCACUUGGAUGUCCAAGCGGCCAUGCAGAAACACUGUAGCCUGUUUUAUCAAGUGUGCAAAGAACUGACUUGAGUGCUCCUAUCACCAGUCCAUAAAAUCAAAAGUCAAGGAACCCUCAUGGACUCAGCUUUCAACGUCAGCGACAAGAAGUCCUGAAGGGAUGCAAGGACCAAGAACUAUCCAUGGCUGGGCAUGGUAGUGCAUAUUCAUGUUCUUAAGACAUGGUAGGCAGAAAGGAGACAAAUAUGAGUGCAGAGGCUAUUGUGGCCUGUUACAUGGGGAGACACGGUCUCAAAACAACCAAAUGGAGAUGGAAAAUGAAUGCAGCAAUGCAGCAAUACAUAAUGGCCAAGAGAGUUUCAUCCCGGAGUACAGAGAUGGUUCAACACAUGCAAAGCAGAAAACAAUGGAGCACGUAAUCACAAAGACAAAAGGUGCACAAUUGAGUCAACAAACUCAGUAAAGGUUUGUUUAAAUUUCAACAACCAUGAAAAGUCCUGCAGGAACUAGUAAUAGAAGGAUCGUCCCUUGGCACAAUAAAAGCUGUAUGUAACAAAUCCAAACUGAAAAUGCUUCCUCUAAACUAAGGGACGAGUGAUGGGGGAUGUCCUGUAUAUG